AUUUUCCCCAAUUGUAGUGAUCAUUUUCAAAUCUGUCAGUCCGGGCUUCCAGCCAGGAUGGGGGUUCUCUAAUAUUGCCACUGAUUUUUUGGUAUCCAAGGCUGGUAGAUGGCAUUCACAGACCACUCACCUCUCCCAGCUGCAGCCACCCAGCUCCUCCCUGGUCCACCAGCAUCCUGGGAAUCACCUGGAACCUAAUGGAGAAGUGGACAGCACUCCCAGCCCCACCAACUUCCCGGCCUUGUGGAUAUCUCCGGAUAAAAGGGAACUCCCUUUCAUGUGAUUGAGGACACGCUACUCUUCCUUGGAUACAUCACAGUUGCUAAUUGCCUCUUAGCGCUUAGCCCUCCACUUUCAAAUCGGGAAGGUACUCCAUGGAUUCAGCUGCCUGGGAAUCCCUCUUGUCCAUGAGUAUGACUAUGUCAUGGGUUCUCAAGUUGGACUGAGAAUCUUCUGUGGAUUUUAUAAGAAACGCAGAUCCCUGGGCUUAAUCCCAGGCCUACUGAAUAAGUACUGCUUAUGAAUGGAGCCCGGUGAUCUGCAUUUUAACAAGCUCUCCAGCCAUAUCUGAUGCAUGGAAACGUCUGAGACCCAUUGGCUUACGAGACCAUGUGUGCUCAUUAUUAGUUUAGAAACUGUGGCCACACAUCUAAUGUGAAGAGUACCGCAUAAUCAGGAAUUCAGUAAGCAUCCUGCUGAGGUGAGUGUAAUGAUCACAGGCCUCUCACACCUUUGUGAAUAUGUGUACCACAUAUCUACCAAUUAAGGUAGCAGGUCAGAGGGUCAUCCUUGUUCCUGAAGAAAGCCCAUGACUGUACUAAAGGGAAUAGACAAUGGGAGAGAGGCAAACUCAAUAUAUUGUUUCCAUUGGGUUUUUAUCAUGUGAGGCCUACACAGG
rnacentral:lncRNA from 10 species